rnacentral:rRNA from 2 species
GACGAACGCUGGCGGCGUGCCUAAUACAUGCAAGUCGAACGAACUCUGGUAUUGAUUGGUGCUUGCAUCAUGAUUUACAUUUGAGUGAGUGGCGAACUGGUGAGUAACACGUGGGAAACCUGCCCAGAAGCGGGGGAUAACACCUGGAAACAGAUGCUAAUACCGCAUAACAACUUGGACCGCAUGGUCCGAGCUUGAAAGAUGGCUUCGGCUAUCACUUUUGGAUGGUCCCGCGGCGUAUUAGCUAGAUGGUGGGGUAACGGCUCACCAUGGCAAUGAUACGUAGCCGACCUGAGAGGGUAAUCGGCCACAUUGGGACUGAGACACGGCCCAAACUCCUACGGGAGGCAGCAGUAGGGAAUCUUCCACAAUGGACGAAAGUCUGAUGGAGCAACGCCGCGUGAGUGAAGAAGGGUUUCGGCUCGUAAAACUCUGUUGUUAAAGAAGAACAUAUCUGAGAGUAACUGUUCAGGUAUUGACGGUAUUUAACCAGAAAGCCACGGCUAACUACGUGCCAGCAGCCGCGGUAAUACGUAGGUGGCAAGCGUUGUCCGGAUUUAUUGGGCGUAAAGCGAGCGCAGGCGGUUUUUUAAGUCUGAUGUGAAAGCCUUCGGCUCAACCGAAGAAGUGCAUCGGAAACUGGGAAACUUGAGUGCAGAAGAGGACAGUGGAACUCCAUGUGUAGCGGUGAAAUGCGUAGAUAUAUGGAAGAACACCAGUGGCGAAGGCGGCUGUCUGGUCUGUAACUGACGCUGAGGCUCGAAAGUAUGGGUAGCAAACAGGAUUAGAUACCCUGGUAGUCCAUACCGUAAACGAUGAAUGCUAAGUGUUGGAGGGUUUCCGCCCUUCAGUGCUGCAGCUAACGCAUUAAGCAUUCCGCCUGGGGAGUACGGCCGCAAGGCUGAAACUCAAAGGAAUUGACGGGGGCCCGCACAAGCGGUGGAGCAUGUGGUUUAAUUCGAAGCUACGCGAAGAACCUUACCAGGUCUUGACAUACUAUGCAAAUCUAAGAGAUUAGACGUUCCCUUCGGGGACAUGGAUACAGGUGGUGCAUGGUUGUCGUCAGCUCGUGUCGUGAGAUGUUGGGUUAAGUCCCGCAACGAGCGCAACCCUUAUUAUCAGUUGCCAGCAUUAAGUUGGGCACUCUGGUGAGACUGCCGGUGACAAACCGGAGGAAGGUGGGGAUGACGUCAAAUCAUCAUGCCCCUUAUGACCUGGGCUACACACGUGCUACAAUGGAUGGUACAACGAGUUGCGAACUCGCGAGAGUAAGCUAAUCUCUUAAAGCCAUUCUCAGUUCGGAUUGUAGGCUGCAACUCGCCUACAUGAAGUCGGAAUCGCUAGUAAUCGCGGAUCAGCAUGCCGCGGUGAAUACGUUCCCGGGCCUUGUACACACCGCCCGUCACACCAUGAGAGUUUGUAACACCCAAAGUCGGUGGGGUAACCUUUUAGGAACCAGCCGCCUAAGGUGGGACAGAUGAUUAGGGUGAAGUC